GAUGAACGCUGGCGGCGUGCCUAAUACAUGCAAGUCGAGCGAACGGACGAGAAGCUUGCUUCUCUGAUGUUAGCGGCGGACGGGUGAGUAACACGUGGAUAACCUACCUAUAAGACUGGGAUAACUUCGGGAAACCGGAGCUAAUACCGGAUAAUAUUUUGAACCACAUGGUUCAAAAGUGAAAGACGGUCUUGCUGUCACUUAUAGAUGGAUCCGCGCUGCAUUAGCUAGUUGGUAAGGUAACGGCUUACCAAGGCAACGAUGCAUAGCCGACCUGAGAGGGUGAUCGGACACACUGGAACUGAGACACGGUCCAGACUCCUACGGGAGGCAGCAGUAGGGAAUCUUCCGCAAUGGGCGAAAGCCUGACGGAGCAACGCCGCGUGAGUGAUGAAGGUCUUCGGAUCGUAAAACUCUGUUAUUAGGGAAGAACAUAUGUGUAAGUAACUGUGCACAUCUUGACGGUACCUAAUCAGAAAGCCACGGCUAACUACGUG
rnacentral:rRNA from 1 species